UACAGAGGGUGCAAGCGUUGUUCGGAAUUAUUGGGCGUAAAGCGCGUGUAGGCGGCUUAGCAAGUCGGGCGUGAAAGCCCUCGGCUCAACCGAGGAAGUGCACCCGAAACUGCUGAGCUUGAGUGCCGGAGAGGAUGGCGGAAUACCCCAAGUAGAGGUGAAAUUCGUAGAUAUGGGGUGGAACACCGGUGGCGAAGGCGACAUCCUGGACCGGUAUUGACGCUGAGGCGCGAAAGCCAGGGGAGCAAACGGG
rnacentral:rRNA from 1 species